AGAAAAAGAAAUUGCUAGUUGGGCGGUGACCGAGAGGAAAGAAACACAAGGCAGCUUCAGCUUUCUUUCUUUCUUUCCAAAAACGGAAUCGAGGGAGUGGAUCUAAGAGUGAGGGAGAGAAAAUUUGGUUAGCUUCAUCAUCUGCUGAUCAUAAUCAAGAAGAGAAAGGCAAGGAAAAUAGGAGGGAUAGCUGGUGCAGACCUUGAGGAAACAAAGCUGGGAAAAUCUGGUCAGUCUGCAAUUUUUAACUCUUAAAGGAAAGAGGUAAAUUCUCUGUGAUCAAUACUUAUUUAAUGAGUAUAAAUGAAUAUAUAUAUAUAUAUAUAUAUAGACACACACACAAGCUGCAAGAUAAGUUUUAGCAGAGGAAAUGAGCUUCGAUUGAAGAAAAAUUCUGGUUUGAGAUUAAAAUGAUUAUUCGACUGAAGUUGUAGCAACCGGGAGUUAAUUACAUGAAUUUCAGCUCAUUAGCAGUGUAAAAAUGGAAAAUAUAAUAUAAGAAAAGCAUGUAAUAUGGUUAUCUCUGAUAUUAUAAGAAGUUUAGUUGAAGAAAUUUGGGAAAGGUUGGAAAUUGGGAGGACCGAUGGAAGAUCCUUGCUGGAAUUUUUCCAGCUUCAUCCGAGUGGGAGGGGGGAAUGGAAAAGUUUCAGAUGUCUUUGGUGAAUAAUGACUCUAAACUUCUGUGUUAAUCUGUAAUAUGUUGUAUAACAUCCUGAUUUCUUCAUGCAUGAGAGGUUUGAGCAUAAAAUGGAGGGAUCUAGUAGAAGAAACUCGUCUUUAGGCAUUACUUGCUGCUACGAACCAGCUUUAUAGCCAAGAGAGGAUAUAAAUCUUGGUUCAGAUUUUCUCUUGGGUUUUUGGCUAUAAAUUUCUAUGUUUUGCUUAAGAUGGUCUGUAGUUGAAUGAUCAUCCCCUGCAUGUCUAGUUGGAGCAUGAACUGAAAAGAAAAUUAUGAGAAAACAACCACAUGUUAAACUGCUAUACUGCUGCAAAUUGUAAUUAGUCGAUGACAGAUUGUUGUGCGUAGCUUUUGGGUUGAAUAAUUUGUUGAAACUAGAUGCUAUUUGCCUUGGUAUAUGCUGGACUGAAUGUACUUUAAAUAUUUAGAGCUUUAAGCAAGUGAAAGAAUAGAGUUUUCGUCGAAAGCUUGAAGUAACGUUACUAGUUUUGGUUGCUGACCGAGAAAAUGAAACAGAUUGUGCUUCUGACCGUCCCUUUUUGGCCUUGAAAACGCGAUAACUGGGUGUCGAUGUCUUCAGAAGAAAUGUAGGUCUAUGUCUUAGCUUCAAAACGCUAUAAAAUUCGCCUCAAUCUGAUAAGCGUAGCUCCAGUUGUGAUCAAAACAUUAGAGGGUGGCAAAGCUGCCUUUCUUGUUGCUUUCCUUUUGUUCCCAGAUGCACUUUGCUUUGAUAAUGGCCGUGAGGAAACAACUUUAAACCAGCAUUUCCUCUAAUUUCCAACUUUGUAAGCUUUCAUAGAUGAUAGCUAUGGUUACCCUGAGAUUUAAUGGCUAUAUACAGCUCCACGAGUAGCUUUCAUGAUAAUUAUGUACCUAAAUUAGCUUCUAAUUACUUAAUAUUGUCUUCACAAAUAUUUUAAAAACUAUAAAAUUUGAGGGACUGGUGUAGUGGAAUAAAAUUUAACUUACAAAUAACCUAGAGUUUAAUUUAUUAAAAAGGGGACCAAUGAAGUACUCCUAAACCAUAAUCUUAGAAUCUUGAAUGGAAAAUGAUUUGAUUCUAAAAUAAAUAUCUUAUAAAUUAUUAACUUGGAAAAACAGGUAUAAUUCUUGAUUAAAACAAUAAAGUCAAUAAGUUUCAAAAUAAAAUGAUAAAUGAAUAUUGAAUAUAUUAUAUUUGUACUUUAAGGUCAAACUAGAAUCUGUUUUAGCCUAGACGGAAGAAAUGAAACGUUUGCUUGUCUUAAUCCUUGCAGAUUAGAUUGGAAAUGAGUUAAUCUUAGCUCAAGUGUUUUAUAUGAUAUUAAAAUUUGGUGUAUAUGUACAUUAACCUUGUUUUAAAGCUACCAAACUUAAUAAUCCUGAAGACAAACGUAAGGAAGGUGGCUAGAUUUUGGUGAUUCAUUUUACAACCUUAGGAACUUGGGUUUUAGUUACUUAAACCUUAAAUUAUGUAAGAUGAAUGGUUGUAUAUAAAAUGAAUAUUCACUUUAGAAUUAUUAACUUGUACCAGGAAGUAGCCGUAAACCAGGAAACCAACUCGAGACUCAAGAGUAGUCAUUUGAAUCUUUGGUGAGUGUUUUCCGAGUUUAUGUGUUAAACUGCUUAUGUGUACCUAAGUGCAAUUAUAUGGCAAAUGUGCUUAUUAUGAAAUAUUGCUAAGUGAUUCAUUGUGAAGUGUUUUCAAUUGUCCCUUGCCUUCUAAGUCGAGGGUGUACUUUAUCGCUCAGCUUAGUUGAGGUUGAAGGUUGAUAAUUGAUCAAGUAAUAUUGUAAGUGCGCAUGACUGUAAGCCAUGUGUGCACCUUAUCACACUGGCUGAACUGGGCCCCAAAACCCUCUGUUCAACGGACUAUUCGAGCCAGCAAAGGGCUUGGUCGGGUAGGACGGUAGCUUUGGGUAAGUGUUUUGGUAUAUUCGAAUAUUACCACGGAGUAGCAGAUUACUGAUAUUGAUAUGGCCAUCCAAGUGAGGGAAGUGUUUAUUAUUUUGGAGGUUAUAAGGAGGAGUUCGGUGGAGUGUGUAGUGCAUUGAAGUGGCUCUAAUGCGAGCACCGUAUCCUUUUAAAAGUGAUUGUUUGGUUAUGUGCUUCCUCAAUUGCUUAAUGAAAGUGAUUGUACAGUGAAAUGUGCACUACUUGCUUAAUUGUACUGAUUUAAGUGCUUAUUGAUUGUUGCUUGCAUGGAAACCUCACGGGCGUAAGCUCACCCUUUUAGCUUUGUCUCCUUACAGGAGUUGGAGAUUGAAAAGUGAUUAGAUGGAAUAGGAAAGUUGUUUUGGGAAAUUCCAUCACUAUGUGUAUAUAUUGGAGUCACGUUUUCUUUUGUAUUUUAAGAUGGUUGAAUCUUCUGUUUUGAGUUGAUGUAAUAUUAAGAAUGGAUGUUUAGAACGUGUAUUUUGUUUCUUUUAGUGGACAAAUCUUUGUUUCAUGCUGAUUGGAGUGGUACUUAAGAGUGAAUGUUCAGUUGUUCAAUGAUAAUGAUAUCUCUGAAGUUAAUGUAAGUGAGUGAGUCCUGACGAGAGCCAGGCAGGCGAUCCGCUAACUUCUAGGGUAGGCCCUAGGAGAAGGUGAGGUCGUCACAAAAGUAAACUAUGACUUGGGGGCAUUAAGAACCCACAUGCAGCACCAAGUUGAAACACUAAAUGGGAGAGGGGGAAAAAACAAAAGAAAGAAGCAGG
rnacentral:lncRNA from 1 species